GUUUUAGUGUUUGUGGUCUUUAUCAAACACAUUAGUUUGAUAAUAGUAAAAUAUUUUUUUAUUAUUUACAACAAAAUGCGUCCAAAAAAAAGGUAUACUAAAACAAUAUUUUGUGGAGGGUUUAAGAAAUAUUUAGCUGCUAACUACAAAUUACCAUCUGGAACAAGCAUUCAAUGUAUGAAUGGGUUGGAGGUGGAGAGGCGACCUGCUUCCGAUUCGAUGGGUGCCACCGGUGCACGUUGUAAUAUAGUUUAAUUUAAUUUGUAUUUUUAUACUAGAUUUACUUUUUUUUAAAUAAAUAUAAAAUUGAUAAAA